UUGUGUCCCCUGUCAACAGCAGUUGCCUGUUUAAUUUUUUACUUCCUUGUGUUCUCCUGGGACAUUGUGAGUUGGUUGUAUUUAUUUUGAUGAUCUGUUGUCCAUUUUUAUUUCUAGUGGACAGUAGUGAAUGCCAUUUUGUUAAUUUGUCAUUUCUUUAGUUGACUGAUCUUGCUUUUUAAUUCUUGCACAUAAUACAGGACGAAAGAGAUUGGUGCUGAUAGAUUCAAGAUUCCUGAUACUCUGUUUAAUCCGUCCUUAGUCCAGACUGUCCUCAAAAACAUGUGUUGAGUGAUGGAAAAGCUAGGGCAUUGAUGGCACACCAGAUGCAAGCAAGCUGUGAUCAAGCAUGCCAAGUUCAUGAACACGGUGCUACUCAUAGUGAGAGAAAGGAAGAAGGUAGGAGCAAGCGAUCGGAUCGGUCAAAGGAGCUUCAAAAUCAGAGAAGGGCGAAGAAAUCUCUUACAUUGUACCGUUUUUGCCAGAGAAUCCCAAUCUGAAAGCUGGAUCCUGUAAAGGAGACGAAAAUUCGCUGCAAUCUCUUUCAAUUGUAGCAUCCGCAGCUUCCGGAGCUAAGUUCUCCGAAACUUCCUGCAUAGAAUCGCUUUCCGCUGCGAACACUCAAAGGCUAUGUGGCAGUUCAUGUGCAUUUGUAUUUUGUUUUGAAAACUUUAAAUAGACAAUUAAUUGUUUUGUUGAUAUUGUGUUGAUUGUUGUCUUAAUGAAUGUUAAAUGGGUGAAAUAUGCACAGGUUCAAUCAUUUGUUGAUUAUGA